AUUAGCGGCGGACGGGUGAGUAACACGUGGGCAACCUGCCUAUAAGACUGGGAUAACUUCGGGAAACCGGAGCUAAUACCGGAUACGUUCUUUUCUCGCAUGAGAGAAGAUGGAAAGACGGUUUACGCUGUCACUUAUAGAUGGGCCCGCGGCGCAUUAGCUAGUUGGUGAGGUAAUGGCUCACCAAGGCGACGAUGCGUAGCCGACCUGAGAGGGUGAUCGGCCACACUGGGACUGAGACACGGCCCAGACUCCUACGGGAGGCAGCAGUAGGGAAUCUUCCGCAAUGGACGAAAGUCUGACGGAGCAACGCCGCGUGAACGAAGAAGGCCUUCGGGUCGUAAAGUUCUGUUGUUAGGGAAGAACAAGUACCAGAGUAACUGCUGGUACCUUGACGGUACCUAACCAGAAAGCCACGGCUAACUACGUGCCAGCAGCCGCGGUAAUACGUAGGUGGCAAGCGUUGUCCGGAAUUAUUGGGCGUAAAGCGCGCGCAGGUGGUUCCUUAAGUCUGAUGUGAAAGCCCACGGCUCAACCGUGGAGGGUCAUUGGAAACUGGGGGACUUGAGUGCAGAAAAGG
rnacentral:rRNA from 2 species